AUUGAACGCUGGCGGCAGGCCUAACACAUGCAAGUCGAGCGGAUGAAGGGAGCUUGCUCCUGGAUUCAGCGGCGGACGGGUGAGUAAUGCCUAGGAAUCUGCCUGGUAGUGGGGGCUAACGUCCGGACACGGGCGCUAAUACCGCAUACGUCCUGAGGGUGAAGGUGAGGGAUCUUCGGACCUCACGCUAUCAGCUGAGCCUAGGUCGGAUUAGCUAGUUGGUGAGGUAAAGGCCUACCAAGGCGACGAUCCGUAACUGAUCUGAGAGGAUGAUCAGUCACACUGGAACUGAGACACGGUCCAGACUCCUACGGGAGGCAGCAGUGGGGAAUAUUGGACAAUGGGCGAAAGCCUGAUCGAGCAAUGCCGCGUGAGUGAAGAAGGUCUUCGGAUUGUAAAGCACUUUUAGUUGGGAGGAAGGACAGUAAGUUUAAACCUUGCUGUUUUGACGGUACCAACAGAGUAAGCACCGGCUAACUACGUG
rnacentral:rRNA from 1 species